rnacentral:rRNA from 1 species
AUUGAACGCUGGCGGCAGGCCUAACACAUGCAAGUCGAGCGGCAGCGGGAAAGUAGCUUGCUACUUUUGCCGGCGAGCGGCGGACGGGUGAGUAAUGCCUGGGAAAUUGCCCAGUCGAGGGGGAUAACAGUUGGAAACGACUGCUAAUACCGCAUACGCCCUACGGGGGAAAGCAGGGGACCUUCGGGCCUUGCGCGAUUGGAUAUGCCCAGGUGGGAUUAGCUAGUUGGUGAGGUAAUGGCUCACCAAGGCGACGAUCCCUAGCUGGUCUGAGAGGAUGAUCAGCCAGACUGGAACUGAGACACGGGCCAGACUCCUACGGGAGGCAGCAGUGGGGAAUAUUGCAAAAUGGGGGAAACCCUGAUGCAGCCAUGCCGCGUGUGUGAAGAAGGCCUUCGGGUUGUAAAGCACUUUCAGCGAGGAGGAAAGGUUGAUGCCUAAUACGUAUCAACUGUGACGUUACUCGCAGAAGAAGCACCGGCUAACUCCGUGCCAGCCGCCGCAGUAAGAC